rnacentral:rRNA from 1 species
CCUACGGGAGGCAGCAGUGGGGAAUAUUGGACAAUGGGGGGAACCCUGAUCCAGCCAUGCCGCGUGUGUGAAGAAGGCCCUCGGGUUGUAAAGCACUUUCAGUGAGGAAGAACGCCUGGUGGUUAAUACCCAUCAGGAAAGACAUCACUCACAGAAGAAGCACCGGCUAACUCCGUGCCAGCAGCCGCGGUAAUACGGAGGGUGCGAGCGUUAAUCGGAAUUACUGGGCGUAAAGCGCGCGUAGGUGGCUUGAUAAGCCGGUUGUGAAAGCCCCGGGCUCAACCUGGGAACGGCAUCCGGAACUGUCAAGCUAGAGUGCAGGAGAGGAAGGUAGAAUUCCCGGUGUAGCGGUGAAAUGCGUAGAGAUCGGGAGGAAUACCAGUGGCGAAGGCGGCCUUCUGGACUGACACUGACACUGAGGUGCGAAAGCGUGGGUAGCAAACAGGAUUAGAACCCCUGUAGUC